rnacentral:lncRNA from 1 species
GCUUUAGCCAUCUCUCUGACCUCAGUGCUGCUGGACUCAGUUCCAAGAUCUAACUGUCAAAUGCUUUAGGGGAAACGGGAAGAGAAGUCCCUGGAGUAACCCAUGUGCGCAGCCUGGCACUGUUUUCACUUGCCUUUGGAAAUGAAGGUGCAGAAACCAUGGGAGGAACCUGAUGAAAUGCCUGGUCUAACAGGAGGAUGCAGAGAAAGUUAUGAAGAGAGGAUCCUGAGGAAUUUGCUCCUGGGCCAUGAAGAUGGGAAGCUGAGUCAGAGUGCAGUUCUUCACCCAAUCCCACAGCCACACGUGCCUGCUUGCUCACGGGAUCUUCCCACUCUCCUCGGGAAGGCUUCCGAGCUGCUUCCUCAGGAUGUCCUGUGAUAGCAGCCUGACCUGUCAAAGCCAUGCGAAUACCAUCUGUUCAGUUAUAUAACUUGAGAUCUGGGAAGAAUUCUCAACGUAGGAUUUGCUGCCCAAAUCAAAUCAUUUUCAGAAAGGAGAUUAAGCAUUCUUUGCUGGGAAAAGGAGAAAUUACCAGAAAAAAUUAUCAUUUCACUGAGUAUAAACAAACCUUUGUCCAAAAUACACAAAUGAAAAUGACAAAUUUGCUUCAUUAAUAUUUGCUUGCAUUAAAAAUAUACACAGGGCUAUGUAUGGUUCAAUAUCUUAAGUGCAAAGUAAAAUCUUAAUUAGGAACAAUGGAAUUGUUAAUUUAAUGAAUCUUAAUUUUGUUUAGAUCAUUAGCCUGCAGUAUAAUGUCCCAAGCAGAAUUUGGGGUGGGGAGCUUGGUGGUGGAAGAGGAAGUGCUCAUUUCUACAGACAUGACAAGAUUAUUAACACUAAAGAAUGACUUUUCUUUCAUGGGAGGGGAAGAUAUCUGACCCACCAGCAGUCAGACAGAAACCCUGACUUGUGAUUUUAACAUUACCUUAUAUGACCCAUGGUCACCUUGUAUGACCAAAGAAAACCAUUUAUGAAAUAGCUGUCCGGAGUUCAAGAUUUAAAUGGUAACUUUGUAGACUAGGUUUUCUCUCAUCAUCUAAUUUACUUGCCUUAACGCUUGUUUCUUUGCCCUUAUUCCUACUGGCUCUCGAGUAUAAUAUCCUGAGAAUUUAUGUUGAACAGCACUAAUUUUUUCACUUGGAGCUAGCACAUGUUUAUGACUAGUACAAGUUUAUAACUACAAAAAACAGAGAUUUUGUCAUCUUAAACUGAAUUUACUGGGAAUAAAAUCAGUCAAUUCAGAAAAGUAUAACAAAGGAAAUAAAAAUCACCACAACUCCUACUACCUGAAGAUUAAAUGGUUAAAGUGUUU